AUUAUCAACCAAAAGUGGUUGUUAAUGUUAUAAUUAAUUAGUUCUGACAUUAUAUUUUUGUGUUUUGUUGCAGACACCAACUGUUGGGGUUCUAUCUCAACAUUCUCCAGAUUUAGAUGUGAGCGAUAAACCGACUUCAUCCCUCCAACAGGUUAUUACAAGUCUAUUUUUACUAUAUCUGCUCUAAAUGUGACCCAACCUAUAUUUUGAAAGACAUUUAUUAAUUUUAAUCUCUCACAGAUCAGUUUAUAUGACAACAUUUUCGUAAGAGUACAUCCAUGUUAGUCAGUAAGGAGUUUGGAACUCAUGUUUAGCAAAACAGGAGAUGUUACAAGUCAACAACAUACAUUCUACAUGUGACCCCUCGUCAUGUCCUUAUAUUGUUUGAACCAAGAAAGACUUAGGUGUGUUUCAUAUAAGGUCCUCAUAUUUUCUAAACCAGAUUAGUGUGUGUUACAAUGUUAAUGUCCAAGCUUUAAAAUGUGUGUCUCAAUUCAGGUCCUCAUAUUUUCUGAACCAGAUUUUAGUGUGUUUUAUAUUCUUAAUUAAUUGUCUAAGAGCUGAAACUCUGUAAUAAUCUUUACUAUUUAUCUGGCAUUGUAUGCUCAGAGUUUUAUCCACAAAAAGUGCUGAUAAUGUUAUAAUUAAUUAGUUCUGACAUUAUAUUUUUGUGUUUUGUUGCAGAAACCAACUGUUGAGGUUCCAUCUCAACAUUCUCCAGAUUCAGAUGUGAGCCAUUAACUGACUUCAUCCCUCCAACAGAAACCAACUGUUGAGGUUCUAUCUCAACAUUCUCUAGAUUCAGAUGACAGCCAUAAACCGACUUCAUCCCUCCAACAGAUUGACAGCAGGACAAAUCGCUGGAAGUAGGUAUGUCUCAAGCUUCUUCCACUUGGUCCACUCCAAAGCGGGCUGCAAAGGGGAAGAAGUGGAAGCAGUUGAAUGACACAUGUUGCAUUUUGUAACUGGCAACAAAGUACCAGGUAAAAAAGAUUGUGAAGCCUCCCUCCAUAAAGAACUAGUAGCUCUACAGGACAGAGAUUGGCUUGCCAUCAAGUACUACAUCCAUAACAGAAUUAUAUUAAAAAAAGGGGAAAAAAAUGUUUUCCCACAUCUUCUGUGGUAGUUUGAGUAUGUUACCAGCAAUUAAAAAAGCAAAAUAAA